rnacentral:lncRNA from 1 species
UCCACCUCCACUCCUGAUCGGCUGAUAGACCGUCUCCUAAGCCAAAAGAUGAACUCCACUCCUGCCCCUCUAAGAAGCUCUGGAACUGCCUCUCCAUACCCCGCAAUGCAGCCAACAACCCCAUGGUAUGGGACUACAAAUAAACAUGGAUCGACCUCAGGGCUAACCGUACUAAGAUGACUCUCCCCAUCAUGGAGAGAGCGUUGGUCUGCCAUCCCUCUAGUCUAUGCCUGAUGCCUUGCUCCAUCUGAAUGCACUCCGCCCUACGCAGGCGUCUGCCCGUGAUCGAGACCCCCAAAUAGCUCAGAGUGCCAUCCUGCUCCCCAAUCCCUAGAAUGCCCAUGAUCUCCAUCUUCACCCCAGGGUUAGCUUUCAAGCUAUGCCAUCCUUCGGUGUUGUUGGUUUGAUAGGUUUUUUUUCUGGUCCAUCUGCUGCUCAUACUGCUUUCAUACGAGUACAACCAGCUACAUCGCUAACAAAAAGGCUACGCAAAGUAAAAAAAAUAGAAGACUGCUGGGUCCACUAAAAUUUUCCCAAAUGAUGAGCCACAAAUGAAGUGCCCAGUCAGACUUAUAGGUCUUUUAACUCUCGUUUCAUUUGUCUUUAACUUUGCACCACACUUUUUUGGGCCACGACAAUUGAUGCUGCUAUGGGGACUAUCGCACGACCACAAUU